UUCCAAAUAGGUGUACUGAGAUGCAAAAAUCCCAUUAACAGUAGAUGGUCCAAUUUAGCAAGACUUCUAGAUCUAAAGGAGGUCGCUCAAAAGGAAAAAUAGUAAACAUGGAAAGAACUAACAAGGAAUCACCAAAUCCCACAAUUCCUCCUUAUGGCUCCAUGUGGAGAGGCUUCUACCUCACUACUCCAAUUUCAGCCUGUGCUAUAUGUCAACAGGAUAGGACAUUCUUUUAUAUGCAGCAGAGAAUGACAACAGUCCCUGGUUUACUGUCCUUCCAAGACCUUGAGGUUUUUGCUACAAAACAAGAUGCUGUAGGCAGCUGCUUCUGUGAUGCUCCUUGAGGAGACAGAGGAAGAAACAAGGAAGAUGAUAAAAAGGAGAGCAGAAGUUGGCUGACAUCAGAAAGUGUGGUCACUAAUUGGGCCUUUGGCUGUCAUUCGGAUAAACAGGCGCUGCCUACUUGAUUAAAAUAGUGUACUGGUGGUGCAGAGCGGUACACCG